rnacentral:rRNA from 1 species
UACAGAGGUCUCGAGCGUUAGGCGGAAUUAUUGGGCGUAAAGAGCGUGUAGGCGGCCAGGUAGGUCGGUUGUGAAAACUGGAGGCUUAACCUCCAGCGGUCGAUGGAAACCAUCUGGCUAGAGUCCGGAAGAGGAGAGUGGAAUUCCUGGUGUAGCGGUGAAAUGCGCAGAUAUCAGGAAGAACACCCGUGGCGAAGGCGGCUCUCUGGGACGGUACUGACGCUGAGACGCGAAAGCGUGGGGAGCGAACAGG